AUUGAACGCUGGCGGCAUGCUUUACACAUGCAAGUCGAACGGCAGCGCGGGCUUCGGCCUGGCGGCGAGUGGCGAACGGGUGAGUAAUACAUCGGAACGUGCCCAGUAGUGGGGGAUAGCUCGGCGAAAGCCGGAUUAAUACCGCAUACGACCUGAGGGUGAAAGCGGGGGAUCUUCGGACCUCGCGCUAUUGGAGCGGCCGAUGGCAGAUUAGCUAGUUGGUGGGGUAAAGGCCUACCAAGGCGACGAUCUGUAGCUGGUCGGAGAGGACGACCAGCCACACUGGGACUGAGACACGGCCCAGACUCCUACGGGAGGCAGCAGUGGGGAAUUUUGGACAAUGGGCGAAAGCCUGAUCCAGCAAUGCCGCGUGUGUGAUGAAGGCCUUCGGGUUGUAAAGCACUUUUGGCGGGAACGAAAAGGACUGUGCCAAUACCACGGUUCGAUGACGGUACCCGCAGAAUAAGCACCGGCUAACUACGUG
rnacentral:rRNA from 1 species